AUUGAACGCUGGCGGCAGGCCUAACACAUGCAAGUCGAGCGGAUGAAGGGAGCUUGCUCCUGGAUUCAGCGGCGGACGGGUGAGUAAUGCCUAGGAAUCUGCCUGGUAGUGGGGGAUAACGUCCGGAAACGGGCGCUAAUACCGCAUACGUCCUGAGGGAGAAAGUGGGGGAUCUUCGGACCUCACGCUAUCAGAUGAGCCUAGGUCGGAUUAGCUAGUUGGUGGGGUAAAGGCCUACCAAGGCGACGAUCCGUAACUGGUCUGAGAGGAUGAUCAGUCACACUGAAACUGAAACACGGUCCAGACUCUGACGGGAGGCAGCGGGGGGAAAUAUUGAAAAAGGGGCGAAGUCUUGAUCGACCCAUGCGGCGGGGGUGAGGAAGGUUUUCGAAUUUAAAAGCAUUUUAAGUGGGGAGAAAGGAAAAUAAGUUAAUACUUUCUUGUUUUGACGUCACCAAAAGAAAAAGCCCCGGCUAACUUCGUC
rnacentral:rRNA from 1 species